UACGUAGGGCGCAAGCGUUUGUCCGGAAUUAUUGGGCGUAAAGAGCUCGUAGGCGGCUUGUCACGUCGGGUGUGAAAGCCCGGGGCUUAACCCCGGGUCUGCAUUCGAUACGGGCUAGCUAGAGUGUGGUAGGGGGAGAUCGGAAUUCCUGGUGUAGCGGUGAAAAUGCGCAGAUAUCAGGAGGAACACCGGUGGCGAAGGCGGAUCUCUGGGCCAUUACUGACGCUGAGGAGCGAAAAGCGUGGGGGAGCGAACAGG
rnacentral:rRNA from 1 species